AAUGGAAGGUGAGGGUUCUUCGGGGCCAACCUCCCACCCUUGUAUACUGUACCAAGUUGCUUCGGCGGGCCCGCCGUUCGCGCGGCCGCCGGGGGGGAACCCCUCCCCCCGGGCGAGCGCCCGCCGGAGACCCCAACGUGAACACUGUCUGAAGUUUUGUCGUCUGAGUUCGAUUGUAUCGCAAUCAGUUAAAACUUUCAACAAUGGAUCUCUUGGUUCCGGCAUCGAUGAAGAACGCAGCGAAAUGCGAUAAUUAAUGUGAAUUGCAGAAUUCAGUGAAUCAUCGAGUCUUUGAACGCACAUUGCACCCCCUGGUAUUCCGGGGGGUAUGCCUGUCCGAGCGUCAUUGCUGCCCUCAAGCCCGGCUUGUGUGUUGGGUCCUCGUCCCCCCCGGGGGACGGGCCCGAAAGGCAGCGGCGGCACCGCGUCCGGUCCUCGAGCGUAUGGGGCUUUGUCACACCGCUCUCGUAGGCCCGGCCGGCGCUGGCCGACGCUGAAAAGCAACCAUUAUUUCUCCAGGUUGACCUCGGAUCAGGUAGGGAUACCCGCUGAACUUAAGCAUAUCAAUAAGCGGAGGAACU
rnacentral:rRNA from 1 species